rnacentral:rRNA from 1 species
GGGACGAACGCUGGCGGCGUGCUUAACACAUGCAAGUCGAACGAUGAAGCCUUCGGGUGGAUUAGUGGCGAACGGGUGAGUAACACGUGGGUGAUCUGCCUCGUACUUCGGGAUAAGCUUGGGAAACUGGGUCUAAUACCGGAUAUGACCUCAUGCUUCAUGGUGUGUGGUGGAAAGAUUUAUCGGUACGAGAUGAGCCCGCGGCCUAUCAGCUUGUUGGUGGGGUAAUGGCCCACCAAGGCGACGACGGGUAGCCGGCCUGAGAGGGUGAUCGGCCACACUGGGACUGAGACACGGCCCAGACUCCUACGGGAGGCAGCAGUGGGGGAAUAUUGCACAAUGGGCGGAAGUCUGACGCAGCGACGCCGCGUGCGGGAUGAAGGCCUUCGGGUUGUAAACCGCUUUCACCAGGGGCGAAGCGAGAGUGACGGUACCUGGGGAAGAAGCGCCGGCUAACUACGUGCCAGCAGCCGCGGUAA